GGGGCUAUGGGUAUUACAAUAUUUCUAUGCAAAUGAUCUACAGUGUUCACCCACGAGGAAAGCGUGAUGGACACUGAUAAAGUCGAUAUCCGUUUGAGAGUCUUAGAUCCAAAAAACAAGCGAAGCUCGAAACUUUUCGAACUGAAGCGUGCCCCACGCUUUAGUCAUGUGUCGGAAGACAUACAUUUUUGAGAAUUACCAAGAGGAGACACAGGCGGAGGACGAAGACUUCGAGCUUGGGUAUUUCGGUGAGAGCAACCGUCGGUUUACGAUAUGGAGCCAGGUCCAACUCGCGGAAGAAAUGUCACUUAUGAAAAACGGGAAAGUGACAUUCUGGAUGGAUACAAUGCCAUCCAAGAAAAGGAAGUCCAAUAACAAUGAACCGUUCACUAGCAAGAAACCAUGCAGUGAAGAAGAACAGAGUCUUUUGGAUGAGCAAAUGCGAAGGCUUCGGGAGAAACACCCAAAUGUAGAGGACUUUAAAAUUCGCGUUUUAAGUUGUUGAUUAAUGGGAACCACAAGAGUGAGGACGAGGUGCCACAAUUCCCUUUCUUCACUGGCCGCAAAGCUGGGGCGAGGCGUGUCGGAACUCCGCCGGCUAAUUUGGCUAGCAAUCCAACAUCCACAACAACACAACACUCCCACAACAACGACAAGAUGCGACAGCGGAAGGCCAUCACAAAGCAACUACGAGAAAUGAAGGGAUUAAAAGACGAUGGAAUUCUCUUGGACGAUGAAUAUGAGGAUAUGAGGGUGAAACUAGUGUCCGAACUUGGCAAAUUAUGAACUCUACUAUACUUCAAGGAUUGCUUUGUUUGAAAUUUUUUUUUUUGUAAUAAAUCAUUCUCAACAUUUGCAUAAAUUUGUACAUAGGGUUAUCUGGUUAUUGUUGCAAGUGAGUUAUUUACACCCGAAAUAGAAACGGACAAAAAAAUUUUCAUUGUU